rnacentral:rRNA from 1 species
GACGAACGCUGGCGGCGUGCCUAAUACAUGCAAGUCGAACGCAGUGGGGACGGGUGAGUAACACGUGGGUAACCUCCCAUCAGAGGGGAUACCACUUGGCAACAGGUGCUAAACCGAUAUUUGUGGAUGGACCCGCGGUGCGUUAUGUAGUUGGUGAGGUAACGGCUCACCAAGGCCACGGUGCAUAGCAGCCCUGGAGUGGAGAUCGGCCAACACGGGACUGGUGCACGGCCCAAACUCCUACGGGGAGCAGCAGUAGGGAAUCUUCGGCAAUGGAGGAAAGUCUGACCGAGCAACGCCGGGGGGUUGAAGAAGGUGUUCGGUUCGUAAAACUCUGUGGUCAGAGAAGCGGGAUCUAACCAGAAAGCCACGGCUAACUACGUGCCAGCAGCCGCGGUAAUUC